GACGAACGCUGGCGGCGUGCUUAACACAUGCAAGUCGAACGGAAAGGCCCUGCUUUUGUGGGGUGCUCGAGUGGCGAACGAGUGAGUAACACGUGAGUAACCUGCCCUUGACUUUGGGAUAACUUCAGGAAACUGGGGCUAAUACCGGAUAGGAGCUCCUGCUGCAUGGUGGGGGUUGGAAAGUUUCGGCGGUUGGGGAUGGACUCGCGGCUUAUCAGCUUGUUGGUGGGGUAGUGGCUUACCAAGGCUUUGACGGGUAGCCGGCCUGAGAGGGUGACCGGCCACAUUGGGACUGAGAUACGGCCCAGACUCCUACGGGAGGCAGCAGUGGGGAAUAUUGCACAAUGGGCGGAAGCCUGAUGCAGCAACGCCGCGUGCGGGAUGACGGCCUUCGGGUUGUAAACCGCUUUCGCCUGUGACGAAGCGUGAGUGACGGUAAUGGGUAAAGAAGCACCGGCUAACUACGUGCCAGCAGCCGCGGUGAUACGUAGGGUGCGAGCGUUGUCCGGAUUUAUUGGGCGUAAAGGGCUCGUAGGUGGUUGAUCGCGUCGGAAGUGUAAUCUUGGGGCUUAACCCUGAGCGUGCUUUCGAUACGGGUUGACUUGAGGAAGGUAGGGGAGAAUGGAAUUCCUGGUGGAGCGGUGGAAUGCGCAGAUAUCAGGAGGAACACCAGUGGCGAAGGCGGUUCUCUGGGCCUUUCCUGACGCUGAGGAGCGAAAGCGUGGGGAGCGAACAGGCUUAGAUACCCUGGUAGUCCACGCUGUAAACGGUGGGUACUAGGUGUGGGGUCCAUUCCACGGGUUCCGUGCCGUAGCUAACGCUUUAAGUACCCCGCCUGGGGAGUACGGCCGCAAGGCUAAAACUCAAAGGAAUUGACGGGGCCCCGCACAAGCGGCGGAGCAUGCGGAUUAAUUCGAUGCAACGCGUAGAACCUUACCUGGGUUUGACAUGGAUCGGGAGUGCUCAGAGAUGGGUGUGCCUCUUUUGGGGUCGGUUCACAGGUGGUGCAUGGCUGUCGUCAGCUCGUGUCGUGAGAUGUUGGGUUAAGUCCCGCAACGAGCGCAACCCUUGUUCACUGUUGCCAGCACGUUAUGGUGGGGACUCAGUGGAGACCGCCGGGGUCAACUCGGAGGAAGGUGGGGAUGACGUCAAGUCAUCAUGCCCCUUAUGUCCAGGGCUUCACGCAUGCUACAAUGGCUGGUACAGAGAGUGGCGAGCCUGUGAGGGUGAGCGAAUCUCGGAAAGCCGGUCUCAGUUCGGAUUGGGGUCUGCAACUCGACCUCAUGAAGUCGGAGUCGCUAGUAAUCGCAGAUCAGCAACGCUGCGGUGAAUAAGUUCCCGGG
rnacentral:rRNA from 1 species